rnacentral:rRNA from 1 species
GGCCAGACUCCUACAGGAGGCAGCAGUGGGGGAUAUUGCACAAUGGGGGGAACCCUGAUGCAGCGACGCCGCGUGGGUGAAGAAGCGCCUCGGCGCGUAAAGCCCUGUCAGCAGGGAAGAAAAUGACGGUACCUGAAGAAGAAGCCCCGGCUAACUACGUGCCAGCAGCCGCGGUAAUACGUAGGGGGCAAGCGUUAUCCGGAUUUACUGGGUGUAAAGGGGGCGCAGACGGCGAUGCAAGCCAGGAGUGAAAGCCCGGGGCCCAACCCCGGGACUGCUCUUGGAACUGCGUGGCUGGAGUGCAGGAGGGGCAGGCGGAAUUCCUGGUGUAGCGGUGAAAUGCGUAGAUAUCAGGAGGAACACCGGUGGCGAAGGCGGCCUGCUGGACUGCAACUGACGUUGAGGCCCGAAAGCGUGGGGAGCAAACAGGAUUAGAUACCCUCGUAAU